rnacentral:rRNA from 1 species
AGUGAAUGCUGGCGGUAGGCCUAACACAUGCAAGUCGAACGGCAGCACAGGAGAGCUUGCUCUCUGGGUGGCGAGUGGCGGACGGGUGAGGAAUACAUCGGAAUCUACUCUGUCGUGGGGGAUAACGUAGGGAAACUUACGCUAAUACCGCAUACGACCUACGGGUGAAAGCAGGGGACCUUCGGCACGUGCGCGAUUGAAUAAGCCGAUGUCGGAUUAGCUAGUUGGCGGGGUAAAGGCCCACCAAGGCGACGAUCCGUAGCUGGUCUGAGAGGAUGAUCAGCCACACUGGAACUGAGACACGGUCCAGACUCCUACGGGAGGCAGCAGUGGGGAAUAUUGGACAAUGGGCGCAAGCCUGAUCCAGCCAUACCGCGUGGGUGAAGAAGGCCUUCGGGUUGUAAAGCCCUUUUGUUGGGAAAGAAAUCCAGCUGGCUAAUACCCGGUUGGGAUGACGGUACCCAAAGAAUAAGCACCGGCUAACUUCGUGCCAGCCGCCGCAGUAA